rnacentral:rRNA from 1 species
CACUCCUACGGGAGGCAGCAGUGAGGAAUAUUGGACAAUGGGUGGAAGCCUGAUCCAGCCAUCCCGCGUGCAGGAAGACGGCCCUAUGGGUUGUAAACUGCUUUUAUCUGGGGAUAAACCUACUUACGUGUAAGUAGCUGAAGGUACCAGAAGAAUAAGCACCGGCUAACUCCGUACCAGCAGCCGCGGUAAUACGGAGGGUGCAAGCGUUAUCCGGAUUUAUUGGGUUUAAAGGGUCCGUAGGCGGACUGAUAAGUCAGUGGUGAAAUCCGACAGCUUAACUGUCGAACUGCCAUUGAUACUGUUAGUCUUGAGUAAGGUUGAAGUGGCUGGAAUAAGUAGUGUAGCGGUGAAAUGCAUAGAUAUUACUUAGAACACCAAUUGCGAAGGCAGGUCACUAAGUCUUAACUGACGCUGAUGGACGAAAGCGUGGGGAGCGAACAGGAUUAGAAACCCGUGUAGUCC